rnacentral:rRNA from 1 species
CAGGCCGGCCUGCAAGACUGCAGUCGACGCUGAUUUCAGGAUAGCAAUAUUUUGAAGUCGGAGUGGCGCAAGGGUGCGUAACACGUGGGCAACCUGCCCUGAAGUUCGGGAUAACUCGCUGAAAGGCGAGCUAAUACCGGAUGCGCAUUUCAGAAGGCAUCUUCUGAAAUGUAAAGUUGAGGACCGAAAGGCUUGACGCUUCUGGAUGGGCCCGCGGCCUAUCAGCUAGUUGGUGAGGUAACAGCUCACCAAGGCUAAGACGGGUAGCUGGUCUGAGAGGACGACCAGCCACACUGGAACUGAGACACGGUCCAGACACCUACGGGUGGCAGCAGUCGAGAAUUUUUCUCAAUGGGCGAAAGCCUGAAGGAGCGACGCCGCGUGGGGGAUGAAGGGCUUCGGCUCGUAAACCCCUGUCAUUCGCGAACAAUUCCUCCAGCCUAACACGUUGGAGGUUGAUGGUAGCGGAAGAGGAAGGGACGGCUAACUCUGUGCCAGCAGCCGCGGUAAUACAGAGGUCCCAAGCGUUGUUCGGAUUCACUGGGCGUAAAGGGUGCGUAGGCGGCGGGGAAAGUUUGAUGUGAAAGCUCCGGGCUUAACCCGGAAAUUGCAUUGAAAACUCCCCCGCUAGAGGAUUGGAAGGGAGACUGGAAUUCUCGGUGUAGCAGUGAAAUGCGUAGAUAUCGAGAGGAACAUCAGUGGCGAAGGCGAGUCUCUGGACAAUUCCUGACGCUGAGGCACGAAAGCCAGGGUAGCAAACGGGAUUAGAUACCCCGGUAGUCCUGGCCCUAAACGGUGCGCAUUUGCUGUGAGAGGAUUCGACCCCUUUCGUGGCGAAGCUAACGCGAUAAAUGCGCCGCCUGGGGAGUACGGUCGCAAGAUUAAAACUCAAAGGAAUUGACGG